rnacentral:rRNA from 1 species
GGCUAGGGGGCCAUCCCGGCUUACCAACCCGAUGCAAACUGCGAAUACCGGAGAAUGUUAUCACGGGAGACACACGGCGGGUGCUAACGUCCGUCGUGAAGAGGGAAACAACCCAGACCGCCAGCUAAGGUCCCAAAGUCAUGGUUAAGUGGGAAACGAUGUGGGAAGGCCCAGACAGCCAGGAUGUUGGCUUAGAAGCAGCCAUCAUUUAAAGAAAGCGUAAUAGCUCACUGGUCGAGUCGGCCUGCGCG